AAAUACUGACUGGUCCACGUUGCAGGCAAAGAGGGACGUGGGGAGAUCAUUGAAGUCGGUGAUUUGUUGGAAACUGUCUCACAGUGAGGACUCUCCCAUGGUGGACUGCAGGACUACCAGCUCUUCCCCUCCUAAGAGCAGCAACACCUGUCAAAGCCCUGCUGUACAGACGUAGGAUGAUCUAACGGAAUAAGUCGACGGGGUUAUUCGGUACCUGUGCGGGAUGUGGCAGUCCGGUGUGCGUAUCUUCUGCGCGGUGGCUUUGUCUCCCUCUCUUGCCUUUGUGAAUCAAGCUCGCAUUCCAGCUGCGAUUCACUAAUCUCUUGACGUUACUGCAGACAGCUUGAUUCACCAAUGACCGCCUCCCGGCAUUCAAAUGAUGUUUGCUCAACCCACUAAUAAAAUGCAGCGCGCCGAGCGCAGGAGGGGUUCGUGGACCAAUAGCGCUCUCCUAAAAGCGAAUAUGCAAAUCGGUGAAGUUACGUCAGCGCUUUCGCCAGCAGUUGGAUGUUGCGGUGCUGCUGUGACACGUUCAGCAGGUUGUUUUUAGUAAAUGUGGUGCAGGGCAAAGCAGAGAUUUCUCGAAAUGAUGUCUGUCAGCAAGAGGGGUUGAAGAGUCCCGGGUCAUGCUCACUCAUAAGGUUUAUUUACUUGUUUGUUUGCUUAGGCUAUAUAUUUAUUUUUGUGAAAUGGUGUUUGUGCUACCAUCAAUGCAAAGUUGGUGCAAUAAAGUAACAUCAUAGUUAACAUUUACAAUUAUGUAUUUUAUAUUAUUUAGUCACUUAUAGGGUAUAGUUGGACAGAAUUGUUCUAAUUCAACAAUCUAACUUAACAUUUUCUUAUAUUGAUAUUGUUUAUUUCUUACUCCUUAACAGUUCAUCAGACUCUUAAUGAUUUAAUCUAUGCCAUCUUUUGGAAUAUAUGAAGGCCAUGUACCAUAUAGUUCUUAACUGAAGCAUUAUAAGACUAGCCUGUUAAUCAGUACCAGGUCAAUAAUGACUGUUUUAAAAAUUAAUCAAUAUAACAUUUGUCAUGAAGAAACAACCGCCUGCACAUUUAGAACCAAUAGCUACAACAUGCCUUAGUUUUAAUAUAAAUCUAUAGGGAAAAAUAUAUUCUGUUAACAGAUUAUCUAAUAUAAAUAUAACAAGUUCGACUAAAUUUUACACAGUAAAUAAGCCUACAAUUAAACGUGAUAAAUUCUAGUAAAGGUGGUCUUUAGUAUAUAGUUUAAAAAGAUUUUAAUAUAUGUUAGUGCUGGUUCAAGACUGUUUUCUCCUCUUUUUUUAUAACGGCUCCAUUCGGUUUGUACUUGAAGUUGACGCUGAUAAAAGCGACGAAGGCAUGAUUUCAAUAAUUAAUUAAUAGCCUGAUUAGGCCUCUCGUACCUUAUUGCUUACAAUAUUUGCUUAAAAAUUUAAAGGAUUCACAGGACAACAAUCAUUUCUGAGAUGCAAAAAUGUUUGUAUGUCUGUGUAUUAUUAUUUGUGUCAAUGAAUGUUAAAUUACAUAUUAUAUGAAGAAACAGGAAUGUCAAAUUAAAGGGCCUGGCACUAA